rnacentral:lncRNA from 1 species
UCCUCUUGGUCAUUUCAAUGAAGAGAAGUAAUAGGAUAUUCUAAUGGCUAUUAAUCACACUUUGGUUUCUAAGCUGUUUGUCUUUGAAUGUGACCCCAUUCUAUGACUAGAUCACAAACUCCCUGGCUUAACACAGAUUACAGAAGUAAAUAUGUAAGGAGAAUCAUAGAAUUGAUAAAAUGAAGCAACUUUCCCUGUACUACCAUCCAAAUAGAUCCAAAAGCUUCCCUUCUGGAAUUUCCAUUCCACACACAAAUAGGAAAGCUACACUUUGUCUUUGCCUUCUGCAGAUGAUCUUUUGUGAAUACAGCCCUCAACUUAUCCUUGAAAUUCUCCCCAGCAAAGUAAUAGAGAAAAGGAUUGAAGCAACUAUUGGCUGCUGCCAUGGCCAAUGUGAUAACCACAGCUUUAUGCAGUCCAUCUCCACAUGAAUCCUUGUUCCAUGUGAUCAGGUGGAGGGUCCUCAGUGUAUGAUAAGGCAGGAAACACAGGAGGAAGAUGAUCAAGGCAAUGAUGAUGGUGGUCAGUGCUUUCCUAUGAGAAGCUCGCAAAUUUGACUCUGGGAUCUCCACCUUUAACAGGACCC